rnacentral:misc_RNA from 1 species
GAUGAAGAACGUAGCGAAAUGCGAUACGUAAUGUGAAUUGCAGAAUUCAGUGAAUCAUCGAGUCUUUGAACGCACAUUGCGCCCCCUGGUAUUCCGGGGGGCAUGCCUGUCCGAGCGUCAUUGCUGCCCUCAAGCACGGCUUGUGUGUUGGGCCUCCGUCCUCCUCCCGGGGGACGGGCCCGAAAGGCAGCGGCGGCACCGCGUCCGGUCCUCGAGCGUAUGGGGCUUCGUCACCCGCUCUUGUAGGCCCGGCCGGCGCUUGCCGACACAUCAAUCUUUUUUCCAGGUUGACCUCGGAUCAGGUAGGGAUACCCGCUGAACUUAAGCAGAUCAAUAAGCGGAGGA